GCGACGACUGUCUUCUCAGGCGCCGGCGCGCACCACGGGGGGUCCACGCGACGCGAGCACCGCCAUUUCGCCGCCGCUCCCCGGACGCCUGCUCUCGCCGUCUCCAUGCCUCUGCCGCCCCCGGGCAUCAUCCUUCGCGACGCGCGGACGCCGCGGGGGUUCGUCCAGCUCCUCGCCUCCUCCUCCCCGCUUCCGCCGAGCCCGUCCGCCGCGGCGCAGUGCCAUGGGCUGGCCACCAAGCUCGGCCUCGCGGCUUGCAACGUCUUCGCGGGCACCGCCCUCCUCGCCUUCUACUGCCGCUGCCGCCGCCCGCGCGACGCCCAGCGACUGUUCGACGAAAUGCCCGAGAGGACCGGCGUCACCUGGAGCGCGCUCGUCUACGGCCACGCGCGGUCCAGCGCGCCGGGCCUGGCCGUGGAGGCUUUCGGACGCAUGGUGCGUGCCGGCUUCUCCCCCACGGCGGCGGCCGUGUCCAGCGCCCUUGUCGCGUGCGCGAGGAUGGAGGACGCGGGCGUCGGGGCGAUGCUCCACGCCGCUGGCCUCAAGUGCGGCAGCAUCGUCUGUGGCAGCGUCGUUGUCGGGACUGCGUUGGUGGACAUGUACGCCAAAUGCCGUGAUGUUUCGGCUGCUCAGCGGGUUCUUGAGGAGAUGGAAGAGAAGAAUGUGGCCACUUUUACGUCUCUUGUCGGCGGGUUCGCCUCAGCCGGAAGACCUCGCGAGGCCAUGGUGUUGGUCAGGGAGAUGGAACAGUCAGGGGUGGCACCAAACAUGAUGACGUACAGCAGCCUUCUCAGCUCAUUGGAGAGCCCCCAGGACCUAGACCAUGGGAGGCAAGCGCAUUGUGCGGUGGUAAAGAAGGGUCUCGAGCACAAUCCGUAUGUUCUGUCCACUCUUAUGACCAUGUACUCCAAGUGUGGCAGCUUAGAUGAUUUCAGGGAGGUACAGAUGAGUGUUUCGUGUCAGGAUCAGGUCACGCUCAAUUCCAUGAUCUCGGGGCUCUCCUGUUUGGGAAGAGGCGACGAGGCAUUUCAGCAGUUCUUGGAGAUGAGACGGCAUGGCGCUGACACAGAUAUGUUCACCUUUGGCAGCAUGCUGAAGGCUAUAGGGAGCUCAUCCUCACUGCUGGAGGGAAGACAAGUCCAUGCUCUGAUCCUCAAAACUGGGUAUGAGUCUGCUGUGAAUGUCCAGAACGGUUUGAUCUCCAUGUACGCCAGGCGCGGUGAGAUAGGGGAAGCCAGGGAUGUUUUCACUUCGGUGGAAGCGCCUGAUUUGGUCUCCUGGAAUUCGCUUCUGACAGGAUAUGCUCAACAUGGUUAUGGCAAACAGGUGGUUGAGGUGUUUGAACGGAUGAGGAGACUGAAUGUUCAUCCAGACAACACAACCUUCUUGUUGGUGCUUACAGCUUGCAGCCACGCCGGUUUGGUGGAUACAGGGUUGGAGUACUUCAACUUGAUGAAGACAAACGGGUUUCUCGCAGGGGCGCGGCUAGAGCACUACGCGUGCGUGGUCGAUCUUCUUGGACGAGCGGGCCAUCUCCAAGAAGCCGAGGCUUUGAUCAACGACAUGCCUAUUGAACCUGGCGUCUCGGUGUACAGAGCUCUGCUUAGUGCCUGCCAGAUCCACGGCAACCUUGAGAUUGCGAUCCGGGUGUCCACGCGCCUGGUCGAGCUCUACCCUCACGACUCCUCUGCCCAUGUUCAGCUGUCAAAGGUCUUUGCCGGUGAUGGCCACUGGGGUGAUGCUGCCGAGGUCAGGGAGGCCAUGGCAGGUAAAGGGGUAGUGAAGAACCCUGCUUGGAGCUGUGUCGAGGACCGGGUACAGGUUGGAUAAGAAGGUUGAGAUCCCAUAGAUUUGCCGUUGUUAACUGUAGGUAAUGGUCAGCUAUGUUGCAGUGUUCACUGAAGGUAAUGCCAGAAAUCACUCAUAAAUCCGAUGAACCUCUGAUGAAGUUUGGAGAGCAGAGAUAGUUCCUGGCAUCAAUUUAUAAGAAAACACAAAUCAUAUGCCUUCACACGAUCCUGUACUUAUACAUCAUUAAUAUGAAUUGCAGCACCGUUGAUAAAAUUUCCUGAUAUUGCAAGGAUUUUGUGCUACUGAAACCAAGACCAUUGGAGUGCUGAGUAACCAAAGCCUAUGAUUAAGACUGUCAGGACCCGAAUCUGAUGCAUGAAGAAUUCAGGUUAUUAUGUCAGACCUAUAAUCGUUUUUAGGGAGAUCAGCACCUGUACGUCAGUUAACUGAUACAGGCUAGAUAAGAAGGUUGAGAUCACAGCAUCCUGUACUUAUAAAUCAUUACAGCAUAUGAAUUACGGCAAUGUUGAUAAAAAAAAUCCCAUGAUACCCCAAGAAUUCAUGCUGCUGAAAACAAGACUAUCGGAGCGCUGACUAACGAAAGGCCAAGAUUAAAUUCAUGAGGACCCCAGGUUUGACACAUGAAUGUGAAGAACAGCUUAAUUUUCCAGAUUCUGUGUGCACGCACGCACGCAGGCAGCUUGGUGCCACCUGAAGCAUGGCUGGGCCGGCCGGGCCUUUCUGCCUUGGGCCAGAACACACGUGCGCCAGGCUCUCUCCGAUCGAUACCACCGAGGCGAGGAGGAGGGGAGAGAGAGCGACCACGGCUUGCCACCACCAGAUCGACGGACGAAUCACCGUCAUUCUCCUCCUCCUCCUCCGCGCCCUCGCCUCCUGUCGCCACCGGAAGCAAGGCAAGGCAAUGCCGGCGGCGGCGGCCUCGUUGUUGCGGGCGGCAAACCGCGGGUAGAUAGGCGCCAAAUCUUGGGGAUGCCCGCCCGCCCCCUCCUAACAUUCUUCACCGCCUCUUUAUAAAAAUUCUCUCUUGGCUCUUGUGCUCCGCCCCCUCUCCAUAUAUUCCCUGCCGAUUGCGGGGUCUGCUCUCGGCCUGUCCUUGCUCUUCUCGCUGUUGCCGCUCUUGUUCUUCUUGUUGCCGGUGCUGCUGGAUUGGCCUGCGUUCCGUGCCG